rnacentral:rRNA from 1 species
AACGAACGCUGGCGGCAGGCUUAACACAUGCAAGUCGAACGCCCCGCCCGGGGAGUGGCCGACGGGUGAGUAACGCGUGGGAACAUACCCUUUUCUAAGGAAUAGCUCUGGGAAACUGGACUUAAUACCGUAUACGCCCUACGGGGGAAAGAUUUAUCGGUGAAGGAUUGGCCCGCGUUGGAUUAGCUGGUUGGUGGGGUAAAGGCCUACCAAGGCGACGAUCCAUAGCUGGUCUGAGAGGAUGAUCAGCCACAUUGGGACUGAGACACGGCCCAAACUCCUACGGGGGGCAGCAGUGGGGAAUAUUAGACAAUGGGCGCAAGCCUGAUCCAGCCAUGCCGCGUGAGUGAUGAAGGCCUUAGGGUUGUAAAGCUAUUUCACCGAUGAAGAUAAUGACGGUAGUCGGAGAAGAAGCCCCGGCUAACUUCGUG